rnacentral:lncRNA from 1 species
UUGGUGGACCUGGUCGCGCUGUGCCGGGUGUGACACUACGGAGAGCAGAUUACAUUAUCAAAAGCACCAAGUUGAAACAUUUGCAAGGUGUGCAUCAUUUCACAAUUAUUGGCAAUGGUUCAAUGGUUUCAUCUGCUUUGAACGGUUUCUUCUCUAUCAUUAAGAGACAUGAGAGGUUUAUAUCAGGCAGUCUCCACCCCUGUUCCGAAGUCAAGAGGCUGACUCGGGUUGCUACUUCUUGACAGACCGGACCCCAGAUCGCCGAAGACCAUUUGGACACACUUCUAUCAAAUCCUGGCGGUCUCCUUCUAACAGGAAUAUGGCUGUGAUUUAGCCAGUGGAGGCAUACCUGUAUCGUGUGAUUACUGCUGGCAACCAAUCUAAUUACCUCUGUGUGUAAUCUGAUAGGUCACUUCUUCUAUGACAGUUGUUGGUCAAUAUUUGGAAUCAUACUCUUAUUCAGAAAUAUUACUUUAGAAUUUCUGAUUAAGACUAAAAGCAAAAAUGGGUAAAAUACUGUUUUGGUUGAAUUUAUAAGAAAAAAGCAACUUUAAAAAUAUAAAGAAAUCCAUUUUUCUGUUAUUGGUGUAUAA